GGGGAAAUAGCUCAAGGGUAGAGUACUUGCCUGGCAUACAGGAGGCCCAGGGUUCAAUCCCCAGUACCCCUC
rnacentral:tRNA from 1 species